rnacentral:rRNA from 1 species
AGAGUUUGAUCAUGGCUCAGAUUGAACGCUGGCGGCAGGCCUAACACAUGCAAGUCGAGCGGUAGCACAGGAGAGCUUGCUCUCUGGGUGACGAGCGGCGGACGGGUGAGUAAUGUCUGGGAAACUGCCUGAUGGAGGGGGAUAACUACUGGAAACGGUAGCUAAUACCGCAUAACGUCUUCGGACCAAAGUGGGGGACCUUCGGGCCUCACGCCAUCAGAUGUGCCCAGAUGGGAUUAGCUAGUAGGUGGGGUAAUGGCUCACCUAGGCGACGAUCCCUAGCUGGUCUGAGAGGAUGACCAGCCACACUGGAACUGAGACACGGUCCAGACUCCUACGGGAGGCAGCAGUGGGGAAUAUUGCACAAUGGGCGCAAGCCUGAUGCAGCCAUGCCGCGUGUGUGAAGAAGGCCUUCGGGUUGUAAAGCACUUUCAGCGAGGAGGAAGGGUAGUGUGUUAAUAGCACAUUGCAUUGACGUUACUCGCAGAAGAAGCACCGGCUAACUCCGUGCCAGCAGCCGCGGUAAUACGGAGGGUGCAGGCGUUAAUCGGAAUUACUGGGCGUAAAGCGCACGCAGGCGGUUUGUUAAGUCAGAUGUGAAAUCCCCGCGCUUAACGUGGGAAUUGCAUUUGAAACUGGCAAGCUAGAGUCUUGUAGAGGGGGGUAGAAUUCCAGGUGUAGCGGUGAAAUGCGUAGAGAUCUGGAGGAAUACCGGUGGCGAAGGCGGCCCCCUGGACAAAGACUGACGCUCAGGUGCGAAAGCGUGGGGAGCAAACAGGAUUAGAUACCCUGGUAGUCC